rnacentral:piRNA from 1 species
UUCCCGAGAGGGACCCACUUGCCUCAUACU